CAGCACAUAGCUAAAAAAUAGCACUUCGUUUACAACGAAAAGUUUCUUGAUAGACCAAGAUGGACUGA
rnacentral:tRNA from 1 species